AACGAACGCUGGCGGCAGGCUUAACACAUGCAAGUCGAGCGCCCCGCAAGGGGAGCGGCAGCCGGGUGCGUACCGCGUGGGAACGUACCUUUUGGUUCGGAACAACUCCGGGAAACUGGAGCUAAUACCGGAUAAGCCCUAACGGGGAAAGAUUUAUCGCCGAAAGAUCGGCCCGCGUCUGAUUAGCUAGUUGGUGAGGUAACGGCUCACCAAGGCGACGAUCAGUAGCUGGUCUGAGAGGAUGAUCAGCCACACUGGGACUGAGACACGGCCCAGACUCCUACGGGAGGCAGCAGUGGGGAAUAUUGGACAAUGGGCGCAAGCCUGAUCCAGCCAUGCCGCGUGAGUGAUGAAGGCCUUAGGGUUGUAAAGCUCUUUUGUCCGGGAAGAUAAUGACUGUACCGGAAGAAUAAGCCCCGGCUAACUUCGUG
rnacentral:rRNA from 1 species